CCGUCAUAGUCUCCGGAUCCCAAGAGGCGGCCACCAGACCCCGGUUUCCAUCUAAGGCUACUAAGCUUAGCUGGGGUACAUAUGUAGUACUCACAUGCAUUAACAUGGUCUAGAAAGGUAAUAUUCUGCUCACCUUGGGUAUUCUGAUCUUGUGGCAACAAAGAAUUCAAAGUGUAAAUCCUAAUCUUCCUGGCAAUUCCUCCAGUAGCUACAACUGUAUUAGAAGGGUCGAAUUCGAUGACGCCUAGGGUGUCAGAGACUGCUGCCUCGGCGCUGGUAGAGACGACGGUGGAGAGAGAAAAAUCCCACUCACAGCGAGCUCUUUCCUGGUCUUCUUCUCCCUCUGGUUU
rnacentral:lncRNA from 1 species